rnacentral:rRNA from 1 species
AGUGAACGCUGGCGGUAGGCCUAACACAUGCAAGUCGAACGGCAGCACAGUAAGAGCUUGCUCUUACGGGUGGCGAGUGGCGGACGGGUGAGGAAUACAUCGGAAUCUACUUUUUCGUGGGGGAUAACGUAGGGAAACUUACGCUAAUACCGCAUACGACCUACGGGUGAAAGCAGGGGAUCUUCGGACCUUGCGCGAUUGAAUGAGCCGAUGUCGGAUUAGCUAGUUGGCGGGGUAAAGGCCCACCAAGGCGACGAUCCGUAGCUGGUCUGAGAGGAUGACAAGCCACACUGGAACUGAGACACGGUCCAGACUCCUACGGGAGGCAGCAGUGGGGAAUAUUGGACAAUGGGCGCAAGCCUGAUCCAGCCAUACCGCGUGGGUGAAGAAGGCCUUCGGGUUGUAAAGCCCUUUUGUUGGGAAAGAAAAGCAGCAGGUUAAUACCCCGCUGUUCUGACGGUACCCAAAGAAUAAGCACCGGCUAACUUCGG